GUCGAACGGUAACGACCUCAUUACUUUCGGGUAACGAGGGGCGACGAGUGGCGGACGGGUGAGUAACGCAUAGGAAUCUGCCCAGUAGUGGGGGACAACCUGGGGAAACCCAGGCUAAUACCGCAUACGCCCUACGGGGGAAAGCGGGGGAUCUUCGGACCUCGCGCUAUUGGAUGAGCCUAUGUCUGAUUAGCUUGUUGGUAGGGUAACGGCCUACCAAGGCAACGAUCAGUAGCUGGUCUGAGAGGAUGAUCAGCCACACUGCGACUGAGACACGGCGCAGACUCCUACGGGAGGCAGCAGUGGGGAAUAUUGCACAAUGGGCGCAAGCCUGAUGCAGCAAUGCCGCGUGUGUGAAGAAGGCCUGCGGGUUAUAAAGCACUUUCAGUAGCGAAGAAAAGCCUGGGGUUAAUACCCCCGGGUCUUGACGUUAGCUACACAAGAAGCACCGGCUAACUCCGUGCCAGCAGCCGCGGUAAUACGGAGGGUGCGAGCGUUAAUCGGAAUUACUGGGCGUAAAGCGCGCGUAGGCGGUUUGGUAAGUCGGAUGUGAAAUCCCCCGGCUCAACCGGGGACCUGCAUUUGAUACUGCAUCACUUGAGUACAGGAGAGGAGAGCGGAAUUUUCGGUGUAGCGGUGGAAUGUGUAGAUAUCGAAAAGAACACCAGUGGCGAAGGCGGCUCUCUGGCCUGAUACUGACGCUGACGCGCGAAAGCUAGGGGAGCAAACAGGAUUAGAUACCCUGGUAGUCCUAGCUGUAAACGUUGGGCACUAGGUGUUGGAGGUAUCGACCCCUUCAGUGCCGAAGCUAACGCAUUAAGUGCCCCGCCUGGGGAGUACGGCCGCAAGGCUGAAACUCAAAGGAAUUGACGGGGGCCUGCACAAGCGGUGGAGCAUGUGGUUUAAUUCGAGGCAACGCGAAGAACCUUACCUGGGCUUGACAUGUACCUGAAAGCCCUAGAGAUAGGGCCCCUCUUCGGAGCGGGUACACAGGUGCUGCAUGGCUGUCGUCAGCUCGUGUCGUGAGAUGUUGGGUUAAGUCCCGCAACGAGCGCAACCCUUGUCCUUAGUUGCCAGCAGGUGAAGCUGGGCACUCUAAGGAGACCGCCGGUGAUAAAUCGGAGGAAGGUGGGGAUGACGUCAAGUCCUCAUGGCCUUUAUUGUCCAGGGCUACACACGUGCUACAAUGGCCGAUAUAAAGGGUUACAAUACCGCGAGGUGGAGUCAAUCCCAAAAAGUCGGUCCCAGUUCGGAUUGCAGUCUGAAACUCGACUGCAUGAAGUCGGAAUCGCUAGUAAUCGCGGAUCAAGCGAUGCCGCGGUGAAUAUGUUCCCAGGCCUUGUAC
rnacentral:rRNA from 1 species